GCGUUGUAUGGCUUAAGUUGUGAAUGUGGACAAAUAGGUUAAGUCCCUAAUAUUUUGGAACCAAUUAGGGACUUAGACUUGAAUUAUUUUUGUUGUUGUUUUGCCUUGGUUGGCUGGAUCACACGGACCACACAUUCACCCACCCGUUGACCUUCUCUCUCUCCUCUCCCUUUCGAUUUUCUGCAACGUCCGUACAAACGUACGGACGAACCUCAAACCAACCCAUUUAUGCACAGAUCGAGCUUGUGAUUAGUACCAUCUCCUUCCUCUCGUCAUCACGAACUCAACCAUACCAAUUGUUGGACGUGAAACCUUUGAAAACCCGAGAACCCAGGCACCUCGAAGAAGGCACUGUUUAUACUCUUGUGAUCGUGGGGGUUUCAGUUGAUUCUGAGCUUAUGGGAAGCUUUAGAUCACCCUCAUGAUGCUCGAAGUACCAUUUUCACAAAGUUUGGACGUCGGGAUUGUGUAGAACCAGAGAACCCAAUAUUUGGUACUGUUCAUGUGCUCGUGGAAUUGAAGGUUUCAAGGUAUUUGGAGCUCAUAAGGAGCUUAAGGACCUCUCCACGAAGCUCAGAGAGGAAGAAUGAGGUGAUUUAGACGUCUGGAAACCGAGAUCGAAGCAUCACAGUUUGGCCGGAAUUAUCGAAGGAUCUCUGGCAAAUUCUCGAAGGUGUUAGGUCCAAAUCUUGAAACCAGCGAGUUGCAGCGGCACCGGCGACGAUCUCCGGCGAACCAAGGAAGAAGGAGGAGUAUAUUCUGUCAAGUCUGACGGAAAAUGCUAACGGCGUCAGUUAUAUUAAACGGCGAGGCUUAUGCGGACGAUGAGCAAAGUUAAGGGAGGCUCGGGGGCUACGACCCUUCGACAUAUCUGUUCGAGAUAGAGCAGAGCUUUGGUGGCCACGAGGAAUCCAACGGUGUUCUGACAGAAUUUCACAAACGUAGGUUUCACCUUCGAGUAUUAUACCUUAGUAUUUAUGUCUUUUGAGCUUCCGAACCGUGUAAAUGGUUACGUCACUCUCACGUGACGACCAGCAUUCCUUCCUUCGGGACGGGGUGUGUCGGUAUCAGAGCCCUAGGUUGCAAUCCUGGGCAUCUUGAGAAUUCCCUAGUGUCUUCUGUCAGAACUAUACCGCCUCGUAGGGAGCCACGCCGUUCAAAUGAGCUUAGUUUCCCUAAUUUAACAGUUUAGGGGUAACUAUUGCUAUUGUGAUUCAGUCUAUUAUCUAAGAAACCCUUUGAGACUGGUUAUAAGUUGAAUUUGAAUCACUUUAUGGAAAUUAUGAACCUGGGGGAGCAGAGUGUUGGCUUACUCACUUGGAAAAGACGUUUUGGAUUAUGCAAGUCAAAGGAAUCUUUCUUCUGACAGGUGGGUCGAGACGACUACCUGGUUGUGGUUUAUGAAUUUGUAUCCUGGUGGAAACAGGAGUAUUAUUCGUUGUCAUCGGAGGAAACAGCUGAUUGAGAAUUGUUUAAGGAAUUGUUAAAGAAAAUAUUUAUUCCUCCGUCAUAUUAUGAUGGUAG